rnacentral:lncRNA from 1 species
UAGAAGUCAGGUCGGAUUAAGCCAUAGUACGGAAAAAACUAUGCUACCUGUGAGCCCCGUCCAAGGACGUUAAAAGAAGUCAGGCCACUACAAGUGCCAUAGCUUGAGCAAACUAUGCAGCCUGUAGCUCCACCUGGGAAGGUGUAAAAAAUCUGGGAGGCCACAAACCAUGGAAGCUGUACGCAUGGCGUAGUGGACUAGUGGUUAGAGGAGACCCCUCCCUUGCAAGUCGCAGCAACAAUGGGGGCCCAAGGUGAGAUGAAGCUGUAAUCUCACUGGAAGGACUAGAGGUUAGAGGAGACCCCCCCGAAAUAAAAAACAGCAUAUUGA